rnacentral:rRNA from 1 species
UGGAUCCAGACUUUGAUUCUGGCUCAGGAUGAACGCUAGCUACAGGCUUAACACAUGCAAGUCGAGGGGCAGCAUGAACUUAGCUUGCCAAGUUGAUGGCGACCGGCGCACGGGUGAGUAACACGUAUCCAACCUUCCGUUUACUCAGGGAUAGCCUUUCGAAAGAAAGAUUAAUACCUGAUAGUAUGGUGAGAUUGCAUGAUAGCACCAUUAAAGAUUUAUUGGUAAACGAUGGGGAUGCGUUCCAUUAGGUAGUAGGCGGGGUAACGGCCCACCUAGCCGACGAUGGAUAGGGGUUCUGAGAGGAAGGUCCCCCACAUUGGAACUGAGACACGGUCCAAACUCCUACGGGAGGCAGCAGUGAGGAAUAUUGGUCAAUGGGCGAGAGCCUGAACCAGCCAAGUAGCGUGAAGGAUGAAGGUCCUACGGAUUGUAAACUUCUUUUAUACGGGAAUAAAGUAUCCUACGUGUAGGAUUUUGUAUGUACCGUAUGAAUAAGCAUCGGCUAACUCCGUGCCAGCAGCCGCGGUAAUACGGAGGAUGCGAGCGUUAUCCGGAUUUAUUGGGUUUAAAGGGAGCGCAGACGGGAGACUAAGUCAGUUGUGAAAGUUUGCGGCUCAACCGUAAAAUUGCAGUUGAUACUGGUUUCCUUGAGUGCAGUUGAGGCAGGCGGAAUUCGUGGUGUAGCGGUGAAAUGCUUAGAUAUCACGAAGAACCCCGAUUGCGAAGGCAGCUUGCUAAACUGUAACUGACGUUCAUGCUCGAAAGUGUGGGUAUCAAACAGGAUUAGAUACCCUGGUAGUCCACACGGUAAACGAUGGAUACUCGCUGUUGGCGAUAUACUGUCAGCGGCCAAGCGAAAGCAUUAAGUAUCCCACCUGGGGAGUACGCCGGCAACGGUGCAACUCAAAGGAAUUGACGGA